rnacentral:tRNA from 1 species
AGUUUUUAGUUGUGGCAACAAAAGACCUUGAACGUCUUUAUAAAAUGUUCGAAUCAUUUAGAAACUU